UGAUCCUCUUGCCUUGACCUCUGAAAGUGCUGGGACUCAUAGCCUUCCAGCAGCCAGCUUCCAGUGCCCCUCUGGUGAUUGAUGAUGUCUGGCCAGGCUGCCACUCCCUGGUGUUGCCUGAAGGCCAGGGGGUCAACAGAGCUGGCUGCCUUGCCUGGAAGGGAGAAGGACUCUCCGCUAUCCUUCUCUGGUCAAGAGUUCCAGAACUCUACAUGUGGUGCAGUUAGCAAUGGCAGCUCAUCUAGGGUGAAACCACAUACGUUUUGAGCGACCUAGACCUUCUCACUCUAAAUUCUCCACUGAAGAGCCAGCCAUCCUGCUCCAGAUGUUUUAAUCCAGGCAGAGGCAGCAUGGCAAGAGAGGGCAAGAGGCUGCCAUUAUGGGCACAGUGGUAUCUGCUAGGGCUGAGCAGGAGGAAGAGAGCUCAUCAAGGUACAUGGUUUGA